rnacentral:rRNA from 1 species
UACGUAGGGUGCAAGCGUUAAUCGGAAUUAUUGGGCGUAAAGCGCGCGCAGGCGGCCUUGUAAGUCUGUUGUUUAAACUUGGGGCUCAACCCCAAGUCGCAAUGGAAACUGCAAAGCUUGAGUGCAGAAGAGGAAAGUGGAAUUCCACGUGUAGCGGUGAAAUGCGUAGAGAUGUGGAGGAACACCAGUGGCGAAGGCGGCUCACUGGUCCAUUACUGACGCUGAGGUGCGAAAGCGUGGGGAGCAAACAGG